AAAUGAAACCUGGUAACUGACUUUGGGGUCAAAGGCCGGUUACAGCCUAUCAGAACUAAAGGAUGGGUAUUUAGGCCCAGUUCUCAGCCUAUAUCACAAAUGCAACAAAUGGCACAGUAGGUGUCUGUAAUAGCUCAAACACCCGUGUGGUAUCCCCUAUACCAACACAAAAAAGUACAUACAGUACAAACACAAUGGAUGGAGCAAUAUUAGUUCUCUACUCUUCUCCAAUAUAUUGCUGUGGAGAUAGAGAGAUAUACAAAAUAGUGUAGAUCGUUUACAAUAUAUAUUAAAGUGCAAUAGGUGCAAGCAAACACUCACAAAAUCAGAGCCAAGGGACCUGGCUCUGGUAUAGAUGGCUUCUGGAUCUAUUGUGGGGUGAUCCUUAACCCUUCUGUAGCUGGUAUGGUCUCCAAUAAGUAGAAGUGGAUCCAGAGGAUGGGGUAACAAAGAAC